GUUAAACUCAAAAUCCAUUAUAUAACAUUGCAUCAAAAAUGUUACAAACUAUACGAAUGAAUAUGCAACAUAAUAAAAAAAUGAACGUGAUGUUCUACAUUAUUAAUAAUGCAGAACUCCCAUUUCCUUUGGAGUUCCAUUAAAAAUUAAAAGAAGGCCUAAAUAAUAUGAACUCCAUCACAACUAUUGCCAAUGACACAAGAACCUAUCUUUUAAAAUGGCUAAAAAAAUAUGGCAUCCAAAGGAAAUCAAAAUUCCCUUUAUCCUUUUAGUAGUUUCCUUUUGUCAAUAUAUAUAUACAUAUAUGGCCAACUGCAUUUCGCAUAAAAAUUCAAUUUGUUCAAGUGAUUACAGUAAGUCAAUAAUUAAUCUCAAAUAUAGUAGCCAUGUAAAAAGCAGAAGAAUGCAUAAAAAAAAAUAUUCAUUUCAAUAAACCAAAAUUUAACUAUCAUA
rnacentral:misc_RNA from 1 species